rnacentral:rRNA from 1 species
UUAAGGUGCCAUCGUAACUUGGCGAGAGAAAUUCUCUUCGAAAGGUAGCAGAGUAGGCGCUACAACGCCGAAAUGACCUUCUCACCCUUGUGUACUCACUAUGUUGCUUUGGCGGGUCGACCUGGUUCCGACCCAGGCGGCCGGCGCACCCAGCCUUAACUGGCCAGGACGCCCGGCUAAGUGCCCGCCAGUAUACAAAACUCAAGAAUUCAUUUUGUGAAGUCCUGAUAUAUCAUUUAAUUGAUUAAAACUUUCAACAACGGAUCUCUUGGUUCUGGCAUCGAUGAAGAACGCAGCGAAAUGCGAUAAGUAAUGUGAAUUGCAGAAUUCAGUGAAUCAUCGAAUCUUUGAACGCACAUUGCGCCCUCUGGUAUUCCGGAGGGCAUGCCUGUUCGAGCGUCAUUUCAACCCUCAAGCUCUGCUUGGUAUUGGGCAACGUCCGCUGCCGGACGUGCCUUGAAGACCUCGGCGACGGCUUCCUAGCCUCGACCGUAGUACUAAAAUAUCUCGCUUGGGAGUGCUGGGCGACGGCCGCGGGACAAUCGACCUUCGGGUCUAUUUUGCCAAGGUUGACCUCGGAUCAGGGUAGGAUACCGGCUGAACUUUAGCAUAUCCAUAGCGGGGGGGAA